rnacentral:rRNA from 1 species
AUGGCUUCUUCCGGUUCCGUGACGAGGCCACCGUGUGCUAACCGCGAGGAUAUGCCGGACAACUGGACAGACGCCGAGUUGGAUAAGGUGAAGGACAAAGAUAUGAGAACUCCAACAUGUUGGUGUGGAGAUGUUUGCAAAGUUAAGGUAUCCACCGACCGCAAGAAAUCAUGGACGGAAGGAAGAAGAUAUUUUGUUUGUCCCAACUAUGCCUACGAUCGUCCUCGUCCAGCUCACGCCUAUGAUGUACCGCCGGUAAGUUGUUCAAGUUCAAACAUGUCAUCAACUGAUAACCAACAAGUAUAG